rnacentral:lncRNA from 1 species
AGCACCACUACUAUAAUUUGUUCUCAAGAUAAUCAAAAUCAUAUGUGAAGCUAGGCAUGAUGGUAUAUUCCCCGUGCCCCCAGCCCUGGAAAGCAGAAGCAGGCGGUUUGUACCAUGCUCAAUGCCAUACUCUGGUCUACACAGAACUAGAGAAUGCUAACCUGAGAUGCUGCACACAAUCAUUCAUUUUGUUUGAAUAUUCGACUUUGGCCUAUGGAUUUAUUCCCUCUGCUGUACUGCACGCUUUCAUUGUCAACUGGUCUCUCACCAUUUAUCAUUAUUUCCCUCUCCACCUAUCUCUACACUGUUUCCUAUAUAUGCAAAACACACAAUAUAUAAUGAAGAAUUAAAAUAAAGA